rnacentral:lncRNA from 10 species
AUAGAUAGAAGUUGGGUAAUCAUGAUACUACAUGAUGCUAGGACCCCUCCCCCUGCCAGGAAUUCCCUAAACAGAACACCAUGAUGUGAAAGUUGGCUCCCAAAGGCCAACUUGGCUACAAAGAGAGACUCUCUUUCUCUACUCAAGGAGGUGUUUCUCAUAGUCUGAUCCAAUGAAUACCUGCUUAGUAACUGUCACUGUUGAAGAAGUAGAUUCAUGAGUCUUAUCCCAGGCCUAAUGAAUCAGAAUAUCUGGAAUGUGUGGGAAGCUGACUCAAGCAUAUGCAUCUUUUAAAAACUCAGAUUGUUCUUCUGCCCCGAAAUCUUGAGAACCACUGACUUAUGUGGUCAGAAGUGAUCGACUCCCUGGGCUGGGAAGCUCCAAUUUUCUCCUCCAGAUUUCCUGUGUCGCCCUCUCCUCCCUGUCCUCUGCCCCAUUAGGGAGGAUGCAUGGAUUCCUUCAGCAAGCUCUUUGUCCUUCGGUUUCCAGUGAAAAGGCUGGCAUAGAAGCUGUCUGAAUCUAUGAAAUCAAAAAAGGAUCAAAGUAGAGACACAAAUUCCUCUGAACUUGAAAUUGAAAUGAGUGUGUUGCCAGCAUCUAUUCAUCCGCCUAAAACCAAGUAAAUCAUUUCAGAAGAAGUUUUCAGCAGUCUAUCAAAGUGACAAGAGUGGUGAGGUAGUAAAGUAGAAACGCAUUGACAACUUUAUUCCUAUUGACUGGAUAAAUAAUCUUCAUGACUCAAAGUGAUGAAACGCAUCAGAAAUAGAAGCAAAAUGUUCACGUUUCAGUCCGUGAGUAGGGCUUGAAUCCCACAGGAGGAAUUAAGAAAAAGAAGCGAACACUCGGAGGAUAACAUCGCAAUAUUACUUAGCCAUUAUUCUUUACAGUGUUAGGCCCCUUCCAGAGAUGUUUGACUGAUUUGUUGCUUGUCCACGUAGAUGCGUGAAUACACUAAAUAGUCAUCAAAUAUGGGUCAAGUAGUGUGCUGGUUGUUUUACGUAUGUUCUCCUUUAAUUUACCCAACAAUAUUGUGACAUAUCAUCAUUAUUUUAAGAAUGAGAAAGCUUAAAGUUAAUAGAGAUUAAAAAAUAAUUUUCCAACUCUCUAUAAUGAGCAGGUAGUAAGAUCAGAAUUCAUAUCUUCAUCUGUCAAAACCAAAGCCCAUAUUCUAAAUCACUUACAGUGAGUAAAAGGGGCUUCUUAAAACUUUAUAUGUAAGAAUGUAAUCUUAAAUGAGAAAACAAACUAGCUUUUAAACUAUGUGCUGUGACUUUUCUGACACAAUGUGUUUAUAAUUUUUUUCCACUUGACAAAAAAAGAACCACAUAUUAGACUAAUUGUGCUUAGGGUACAGAAUAUGAGCAUGUUUUGACUUAAAAUGUAAAAUAAAUAAUGAACUAAUAGUAGACACCCCAACCUGAUCAUAGAAAACUUUUGUUUUUAAUUUCUCUUGGUAGUCAGUCUUUGUGAAUGUGGAUUUAAGCCACCAAAUCCUUUACUAUGUAUUACUAAAACAUAAGGCAAGGAGAAAGCAUUCCCAUUUCUGAUGUAGCAGCCUCGGAUAAAAGAGGCUAGUGAGAGGCCUUAAUGUGAGUGUUCCAUAAUCUUUUGUGCCAUGAAUCCCUCUGUAGUCUGAAGAAGCUUUGGAACUCUUCUCAGAAUGAUGUUUUUAAAUGAAUAAAAUAAUAUACAUAGAAUUCCCAAGGAAACCAAUUGUAUUGAAAUGUAGUCAUCAAGAGUUUAUUUUAAUGUAAUACAGUAAUAUAUGACCUUCUCUAUUAAUGUGUUAAGUAACAACAUCUGUGGUAGGUAUAAUAACUGUUUGCAUUUGAAGUAGGGGUGAAUGCAAAAUGUAUUGCAAGAUCUGCAAUAAGUGUAAUGAGAUAUGAAAAAAAUAUGUGAUUUCUCUUGGUGAGAAAGUUGCAUGUACUGCUAGUAACCAUGUGACAUGGUACCUACCUUCAUAUUUGGAGGUAAUGAGAAUUUUGUUCUUAGAGUUCAAUAAAAAUGAAUAUGUACUUUUUUCCUGCCCAAGUUCACCCAGGGGUUUAAAGGAUUUUGUAUUAGAACGUCUUUUCUAAAGAAUAAGAGCUGGAGGUAACAGGGAGAAGGACCGUAGAAAUUUGAGACCUGGUCAGAGACUGGGGCUACUGUGACACAUAUUUUGCUUGUGCAAUUGCUUUUGAAAGUUACUGUAUUUUGGGGGAAAAGAAUAAAAGGUGUUUAGAAGAAAAUGCUUGGCUACUUUGAUAUUUUAAUAUUUUCCCUAUAACAACAAAAAAAUUAGGCCAUUCUCCCUUUAAGUGCUUGAUAUGCACAAUACCAAAACUGGUAUUGUAAAACUGGCAGAGAUUUACAAGAAAUUUUCUAUCCCACUGGCCAAAAAAUAAUCCUAGCAAUAUGGUGUAACCGGUAUAAAAGAAGAAUAGAUGAGUCAAAAAUAAAAAUAAAUAAGUGAGUAAAUAAGUGGGAGAGAGGGAAAAACUCUGCAUUACAUAAAAUGCCAACUAAUAACGUAGGAAGAAAGAAUGAUACAGUUAAAAAACCACCACUUUGCAAUCAACGUAUUAAUAAUUGAUUCAUGCAAGAAUCAUCAGUGGAUGAAUAGAAAAGAAAAUCUUUACUGUCUCAUAAAUUACUUAUCAAUUACAAAGAGUUAAAGAUAGUAACUUUAUCAUAUUAAAAUUUGAAGGAUGCCACCAUAGCCAACAUCACCAAUAAUGGAACAAACUGAUAUUGUACACCUCGUAAUGUGAUACAAUUAGGACUAAUUGUAAAACAUCAUAAAGAUCCAAAUUGAGGGGCAUUUAUACAAACAACUGGUCUUUACUUUUGUUUUUCUUCUUUCCCUCUUCCUUCCCUCUUUUUUCCACCCUCAAUGUUGAAUCCUAAGAUGAGAGUUACUUUCUUCAAAGCAAAUUAAAAGUAGUAUGCCAUUUCCAUCUGACUCUUAUUUUAUACACUAAACAAGACUAGUAUGAUUUGAAACAAAGAAACUUCUUUGUAUGAGAAACAGCGCUUGGAAAUUUAAAAAUGAAAGCUGAGAUUUAAACAUAUAAUAAACAUCUGGACUAUCUGUGUCAAAAAGCUUCUGCUGCUGUAUGAGUUUUCCAUCACUAAAACAAAUUACCAAAAUUUGGUGGCUUAAAACAACCCAGACAUAUUAUUUUACAGUUCCGAAGGUCAGCUGUCCAACAGGGGUCUCACUGGGCUAAAAUCAAGAUGUUGUCAGUCAUUUCUGGAGGCUGUGAGGGAGAAUCAGUUUCCUUGCCUUAUCAAGCUUCUAGAGACCAUCCUAUGGCUCAUGACCCCUUUCUUCCACCUUCAAAGUCAGCCAGAGUCUCUUCUCAGGUUGUCAUUGCUCUUGUUCUCCCUAUUCUGUCUCCCUCUUCCACACUGAAGAACACUUGGGAUGCUAUUGGGCCCACCUAAGUAAUCCAGUAUAAUCCCUCUAUUUUAAGGUCAGUGGAUUAGCAAAUUCAAUUCCAUCCAUAAUCUUCCAUUUUAAAGCAUACUACUGGCAAUAUUGGAGGGUGUUGCCUCUAGAAGUAUAAUAGAAUCCAAACAAUUAGGAGUGGUCACUAGGAGACUAAGCCUGGAUGCCUCUUCAGUGGAUGCCUCUCCUGUGGAGCUCCUUGGAUUUCAUUAAUCACACAAUGAAGUAAGACAUUGAAAUGAGAUCCAUUGAAUGGAAUAUCACAACAGGUCUUGCUGCCAACUUUGAAUGUUUUCACCAACUGUAGUUAUUUUGCCCAAUUGGAAUGUCAACUCUUUUAACCUCCCCCAUUGGAAUUCUAUGUAUCCUUCCAGGCUCAACACUGGUCCCUUUUUAUCAUAAAACCUUUUUUAGUAUUUUAACCCCAAGAGGUUCUCCCUUUUCCAAACUCCUAUCAGAUGUAUGGUACAUAUUUUAUAAUUUUGUUUCCAAUUAGAUACUGCAUUCUAUUGCUUACUAUUGUCUCAUCAUCAUUGUCAUCAUCAUUGCUCUCAUUUACUGAGCCCUCACGAUGGGUCAGUUUCUGCACUCAGUGUCUGAUGAGGAUUAUCUGACUUAAUUCUCAUAAAUGCCUCUCAGGGUAGUUAUCGUUAUCUUUAACUUGCAGAAGAUGAAAUGUAGACUCAGAAGAUAAAAUCUGGGGCCCAAGUUCAAACAGCCAGAAAGUGGAGAAAUACAUAUUAUUUGAACCCAAAUUCGUCUGACAUGAGUUUAGUGCUUCAGAUGAUAGCUGCUUUAUUCUUAGAUUAUAAGCUCCUCCACGAUGGGACUCCCUUAUAAUUUUUCUGAAACUCCCACAGCACCUGGGACAGACUUAGGUAUACUGCAGGAGCCCCAUAAUAGCACUGAAUUUGACACAAAUGUGAACUUGAAGCAGAAGGGUGCUAUAUGCAAUGUAAGUUGCCCCAGCUUUGGUUCAUUGUAUGAGUGAAGCAUUUGCACAGCAAGUUGAGGAAUCUGUUUCAAAAAGUUUUAUUCUGUGCCUGUAAGGAUGCCCAGUAGGUUAGGAAAAUUUUGGGAAUUCCCUUCACUGGUUUUGGAAAGAUGACUAUGGUAACUUGGGUCAGCGAGUCAUCUAGCUGAGACAGUGUAGCCAGGAGAAUACCAAUGCCUCCAACCAUAGCAUUUACAUUGUUUCAACACCCAACCAGUUGCCACUAAAAUAAUUCCAAAUAAUUCCACUCAAAGGAGUGGUCGUGGUUAUGUCCAAAUCUCUGUGGGCCUGCUCCCUGCUCUCAGCCAGCCCUUUGGGGAAACUGAAGUGCCACUUCACAGAGCCCCGCCCUGGUAUGAAAUUCCAGAGCACUUACACUUGUGUUUAAUGAUAAUAAUUAAGGUUUAUAAGAGCUCUUCAGUGCAGACAGAUGAUGUAUUUUAUUACUGAUGCAGUAGCAUAUCAUUUCUUAGACCAGAACAUCUCCUAGUGUAAAGUAUUCCAAAUCUGUGCCUUGCGCAGAAGUGCACGGAUGUACCCAAACAUAAUAUUUUUCAUACACUCAGGUGCUUUGUGUUCAGCAGUUUCUGGCGGACAGAUUAAAAAGACCUCCUGGAAUCUGUGUGAACUGCAGAGGAGGAGCUGACUCAUGGGGCUGUCCCCUAGGUACUACUGCUUUAGGUGAAUCGGACCAGCUAAGGCUUGGAAAAGCAGAUAAUGUGAUGUGAUAUGGGGAAGAGGGAAGUAGCCCUUGACCAAAAGCAGGCCCUUGGGCCAAGAUAAGUCUUGCAGAAAACCCCAUACAACAAGGGGAGGCACCUGGGAAUAUUUCCUGGCCCUGCAUAUACAUCCUGCUUUGUUUCUAAACACGGUUCCUGGCACAGAAUAGGUGUUUGCAGGUUGGAUAAAGAUGCGUUUCAGCUCACUGGCAUUGAAUUCUCAUUUAGAAUGAGCCUUAGCUGGGGCCAGAAUUAAGCAGGAUUAUAAACUUCACAAAACCUUUGGAAUAGUUCUUAUUAAACCCUAGACUUUGCCCCGACUACUUUGUUCUCAUCCAGCUCCUCAUCCAACUCUCUAGGACUUGAUGCAGUUCUCUCACGUGGCAGAAUCCACCACUUUGGCCUCCAGACUGCUGUCUCCCAGAGCCCUCCCUGGGUGAUACUUGUUGCGUUUUCCCAUGUCCCAUGUCCUCUGCAUCCUGCUCUAGCUAGACCACCAGGCUGACAUCAGAGCUUCCCAACCCACAUGCCUCUGCACAGCAUUACAAACAUGAAGGGUGAUCUGAAAUGGUCAUCUCUCGGCUUUAGGGACAGGCAGGGCCCAGAAUAUGAAAGCCAUUCUUUCCUAUAUCCCCAUCCCAUUCAGCUUCUAGCCACACACAGCUUGGUCGAUUGGGCCCAGUAAGUCAUAUAACUAAUAUCAUUUUCUGAGUGCUAUGAGUGAAAAGAUUUCAAAGACCCUGGUAAUUGCUGUCAAUAUCAUCAAGGAAUGCAAAUGGCUAUCCACAGUGGUUUUUAAUCACUGGUGUGUAUCAAAUUUACUGAAUGAUUUUUUUUUUAAAUGUGAUGAUGACUUUUCCCUUGCACCUGAAAUUCUGAUUUAGCUAAUGUGGGAACUGAGAAAUGGAUUUGAACGAACUCUCCAAGCAAUGUUUAUGCACACUGUAUUUGUCAAGAUAGACUAGGCAUUUGUAGCAAAUAAUAUUCAAAUCUGGAGGUUUUAUAUCUUGCUCAUGGUGCAUGUGUUUCCAACAAUAUUCUGUAUCUGUACUGGAUGAGGGGUGGAGGGAAUCACUCAAAGUAUGCAGAUGGCCUGGGGCUCCAUCAUCUUACAACACUUUCCUCCAGCAAGUGCCUGCAGACCUGGCAAAGGCAAGGGGAGAAAGAACUGGAGAUUUGUAGUUGGAGUUUUAAUUGACUAGAACUGGUCACAUGGCCCUGCUCAGGGGCCAGGGCUGAGAUGUGUGGGAGCAGAUGGAGAUUCAGUGCGCAAUGCCUCCAGAAACACCACUGGCAGGGCAUUUACUUUCCCCAGCAAGAGAAUCUCGUUCUGAUAGGGGAUCCUGGAGACAAUUCCAUAACUCCAAAUGCCAACUUCUUGAUCAAGAGGAGUAAUGGAGGGCUAAGGGGGGAUACAAAAUGGAGAGUGCCUUUCUGGGUCAUUCAAACUGUAUCACUUGGUAUCUUCCACUGCUCAAGGCUGAAUAUGCCCACCUGCAGAAAUGAUAUGUAAACAUUAAA